rnacentral:rRNA from 1 species
GACAGAGGAGGCAAGCGUUAUCGGGAAUUAUUGGGCGUAAAGCGUCCGUAGGUGGUUUGACAAGUCUGGGGUUAAAGCCCGGAGCCCAACUCCGGAUCGGCCCUGGAAACUGUCAGACUUGAGUAAGGUAGGGGUUGCGGGAAUUCCCGGUGUAGCGGUGAAAUGCGUAGAUAUCGGGAAGAACACUAGCGGCGAAAGCGCGCAAGUGGGCCAUUACUGACACUGAGGGACGAAAGCUAGGGGAGCGAAUGGG